GACGAACGCUGGCGGCGUGCUUAACACAUGCAAGUCGAACGGAAAGGCCCUGCUUUUGUGGGGUGCUCGAGUGGCGAACGGGUGAGUAACACGUGAGUAACCUGCCCUUGACUUUGGGAUAACUUCAGGAAACUGGGGCUAAUACCGGAUAGGAGCUCCUGCUGCAUGGUGGGGGUUGGAAAGUUUCGGCGGUUGGGGAUGGACUCGCGGCUUAUCAGCUUGUUGGUGGGGUAGUGGCUUACCAAGGCUUUGACGGGUAGCCGGCCUGAGGGGGUGACCGGCCACAUUGGGACUGAGAUACGGCCCAGACUCCUACGGGAGGCAGCAGUGGGGAAUAAUGCACAAUGGGCGGAAGCCUGAUGCAGCAACGCCGCGUGCGGGAUGACGGCCUUCGGGUUGUAAACCGCUUUCGCCUGUGACGAAGCGUGAGUGACGGUAAUGGGUAAAGAAGCACCGGCUAACUACGUG
rnacentral:rRNA from 1 species